GAAGGACGACGAAAGUAACCUCCCGUCGAGCUGCACGCCGUCAAGAUCCCCCUCAUACCUCUCUCAUACCUCCUCCCCCUCUCGGCCUUCUUGCACCCUGCGAUGCUAAAGUACUCCGCCAGCUUGACGAGCAGUGGCAGGACGCCCUCUGACCCGAGUCGCACCCUGCAGGUGGCGCUCGACCCUAGGACCUGGCACACAGUCAUGGUGGCUUCUCUCGGACCACAAGUGGCAACGUCGUGGGGAAGCUGCACCAUCAUGAAGAGGCUGUCGAGCGCCUCCAACACACUUUGCUCCUCCCUGCGCAAAUGUGUUACCAUCUACUGAUCCUUAGAUUUGGGAUGUUUCUGUGUGUGCACAGCAGGACAUAUUUGUCUUGGUUUCCUUUCUUUUGGAUUUUGGAGGGCCAUUUCAAGGACGUGGAGGACAAGAAGCUCAGGGUUGUCUACGAGAGCCUCACCGACUCCGACCUGAAGCUACAAUAUUUCUAUGCUAGGAUGCAGAGGGUAUCUAUGUCAGAAGGUAUUGUGGUGUCCAACUCAUUAAUGUAAGCACUCGAGCAGUUCUUGGUUCCUCUCCUUCCAAGAGCUUGGUUAAGUGAUCUAUCUGUCUAUAAAGUGCAGGCUGCUAGCUACCAAUUGAAGAUUGUAUGCGCACAAACAUUAUUAUGUGCAAUCUUUGGAAGGGGUGGCACUCUGCUUAUUUUGGGAUUCUGCACUGGUCAAGGUUAUCCUUUUGUAUGUGUAGUAUAUUGGUUCAGAUUCCUCAUGACUCAAUUGAACUGUUGUGUAUAUGCCAUGGGAAAACAUAUACAAAUAACAAUACAUGUUUUCUUUACUAGGCCAGUGAGAUUGAG
rnacentral:lncRNA from 1 species